rnacentral:lncRNA from 1 species
GGGAAAAUAUCCUGAUGUCCAUUCUGCAUGUAACUGCUGCCAGAUGGAAGAUGGGAUGGGAAUAAUGGCAGCAAAAUCUGCAAUGGAAAAGUGCUCCAGGCAGGAAUAUGUCCCUCCAGUGGGACAGUGCCCUGGCAGGAUGGCCACAGCCCUGCCCCAGCCAGGGGUGCCACAAGGUUUGUUGCUUCCCUUUGCCCCUGAGCACACCCAAAUAAUCCAUCCAGGAUUUCCGAGGCGCUGUCUGCAGGUGGAUCUCUCCCAAGUUUUUCAGCCAGGCUGCCUCACACCUUGAGGUUUGGAUGCAGCAGGAACUGCUGGAACUCCACAUCCAAUAUCCCUGACCCCAGGCACAGACAGACAUCUCCCUUGGGAAGGGGGACAGAUGCUUGGGAAGGAGGGCAGAGCUGCUCACUCAGGCUCUGUCAGAAUGGGAAUAAAGACCUCGUCUGUCUCCA